GUCAAGUCAGCAUGGCCUUUAUAUCCUGGGCUACACACACGCUACAAUGGGAAGGGACAAUAGGUAGCGAAGCCGCGAGGCGGAGCCAAUCCAGCAAAACUUCCCUCAGUUCAGAUUGCAGGCUGCAACCCGCCUGCAUGAAGUUGGAGUUGCUAGUAAACGCAGGUCAGCCAUACUGCGUUGAAUACGUUCCCGGGGCUU
rnacentral:rRNA from 1 species